ensembl:lncRNA STAG3L5P-PVRIG2P-PILRB STAG3L5P-PVRIG2P-PILRB readthrough
CAGCAGGGUCAGAAGGGAGGUAGUCGCCCUCCGUCGUGGCCUGGCGUGGAUUCCGAGCGUUGGUGUCUGGCGGUUUCCGACCGUUGGUGUCUGGCACGCGCCACCCCGAUGUACCAGGUAAAGCCCUAUCACGGGGUCGGCGCCCCUCUCCGUGUGGAGCCCACCUGCAUGUACUGGCUCCCCAACAUGCACGGCAGGAGCGGCGGCCCAGCACUCGGCACUGGCCACUUGCAGACAAGAAGACAAGAAAAUGAUUUGAGGACAGCUUCAAUCGCGGUGUGAAGAAGAAAGCAACAAAACGACCACUGAAAACAAUGCCGGUGGCAAAACAUCCAAAGAAAGGGUCCCAAGUGGUACAUCGUCAUAGCUGGAAACAGUCAGAGCCACCAGCCAAUGAUCUUUUCAAUGCUGCGAAAGCUGCCAAAAGUGACAUGCAGUGUGGCCAUGAGGUCUGCCGGAAGUGACUUGUUGGUGUUAUCUCCUGAGUUAAAAUGUGAAGGGAUUUUUUUUUUUCAGAUUACUGAGAGUCUUCAGUUACUAGGCCUAGCCAGGGUUGAGUUCUCACCCACCUGUGCCGCCCUGCCUUGUUACCUGGAAGCACAGCCUUGGGGACUGAGCAGGCCCUCACUGUCACUUUAAGAAGGGAAUCAGCCACUUUGUGCUCACCACCUCUGGGGAAGGUGUGAGAGGAGAGAAGGAAGUGGCUGUUUGGCUGCUGACAACAUGAAGACUUCCUGCGAUGAGAACAGAGGCACAGGUGCCGGCCCUGCAGCCCCCAGAACCCGGACUGGAGGGGGCCAUGGGGCGCCGGACCCUGGCCCUGCCCUGGGUGCUGCUGACCCUGCGUGUCACUGCAGGUGAGUGCCGG